AUUGAACGCUGGCGGCAGGCCUAACACAUGCAAGUCGAACGGUAACAGGAAGUAGCUUGCUUCUUUGCUGACGAGAGGCGGACGGGUGAGUAAUGUCUGGGAAACUGCCUGAUGGAGGGGGAUACCAACAGGACACGGUAGCUAAUACCGAAUAACGUAGCAAGCUCAAAGAGGGGGCGCUUCUGGCCACUUGCCUUCGGAUGUGCUCAGAUGGGAUUAGCUUGUAGGUGGGGUAGUGGCUCACCAAGGCGACGCUCCCUAGCUGGUCUGAGAGAAGGACAGUCGCCGGUGGGACAGGAAGACGGGCCAGACUCGGACGGAGGGCAGCAGUGGGGAAUAUUGGACAGUGGGCGCAAGCCAUAUGCAGCCAUGCGGCAUGGAUGAAGAAGGCCUUCGGGUUGUAAAGUACUUUCAGCGGGGAGGAAGGAAGUAAAGUUAAGACCUAGACUCAUUGACGUUACCCGCAGAAGAAGCACCGGCUAACUCCGUG
rnacentral:rRNA from 1 species